rnacentral:rRNA from 1 species
UCGCGAAAACUUCGCAAUAAGCGAAAGCUUGACGGGGCCAUCCCGAGUGCCAUCUGCUGAGGAUGGCUUUUACCCAGUAUAGAUAGCUGGGGGAAUAAGGAGAGGGCAAGUCUGGUGUCAGCCGCCGCGGUAAUACCAGCUCUCCGAGUUGUGGGGACGUUUAUUGAGCCUGAAGCAUCCGUAGCCGGCUGGGCUAGUCCCCUGUUAAAUCCAGCGAUAAAUCGUUGGCCUGCGGGGGAUACUGCUCGGCUAGGGGGCGGGAGAGGCCGUCGGUAUUCUUGGGGUAGGGGUGAAAUCCUAUAAUCCCAGGGGGACCACCAGUGGCGAAGGCUGUCGGCUAGAACGCGCUCGACGGUGAGGGAUGAAAGCUGGGGGAGCGAACCGGAUUAGAUACCCGGGUAGUCCCAGCUGUAAACGAUGCAGGCUAGGUGUUAGGGCGGCUACGUGCCGCUCUAGUGCCGCAGGGAAGCUGUUAAGCCUGCCGCUUGGGGAGUACGGCCGCAAGGCUG